rnacentral:rRNA from 1 species
GACGAACGCUGGCGGCGUGCUUAACACAUGCAAGUCGAACGAUGAAGCCGGAGCUUGCUCUGGUGAAUUAGUGGCGAACGGGUGAGUAACACGUGAGUAACCUGCCCUUGACUCUGGGAUAACUGCGGGAAACUGUAGCUAAUACCGGAUACGACCCUCGGAGGCAUCUCCUGGGGGUGGAAAGAAUUUCGGUCAAGGAUGGACUCGCGGCCUAUCUGCUAGUUGGUGAGGUAAAGGCUCACCAAGGCGACGACGGGUAGCCGGCCUGGGAGGGUGACCGGCCACACUGGGACUGAGACACGGCCCAGACUCCUACGGGAGGCAGCAGUGGGGAAUAUUGCACAAUGGGCGCAAGCCUGAUGCAGCAACGCCGCGUGAGGGAUGACGGCCUUCGGGUUGUAAACCUCUUUUAGCAGGGAAGAAGCGAAAGUGACGGUACCUGCAGAAAAAGCACCGGCUAACUACGUGCCAGCCGCCGCGGUAA